rnacentral:rRNA from 1 species
GGGCCCGCACAAGCGGUGGAGCAUGUGGUUUAAUUCGAUGAUACGCGAGGAACCUUACCAGGGCUUAAAUGUAACGGGACAGAUCUAGAGAUAGAUCCUUCUUCGGACUCAUUACAAGGUGCUGCAUGGUUGUCGUCAGCUCGUGCCGUGAGGUGUCAGGUUAAGUCCUAUAACGAGCGCAACCCCUAUCGUUAGUUGCCAGCGGGUAAUGCCGGGAACUCUAGCGAAACUGCCGGUGCAAACCGUGAGGAAGGUGGGGAUGACGUCAAAUCAUCACGGCCCUUACGUCCUGGGCUACACACGUGCUACAAUGGUCGGUACAGAGAGCAGCCACUACGCGAGUAGGAGCGAAUCUUCAAAACCGAUCUCAGUUCGGAUCGCAGUCUGCAACUCGACUGCGUGAAGCUGGAAUCGCUAGUAAUCG